CCUACGGGCGGCAGCAGUCGAGAAUCAUUCACAAUGGGGGAAACCCUGAUGGUGCGACGCCGCGUGGGGGAAUGAAGGUCUUCGGAUUGUAAACCCCUGUCAUGUGGGAGCAAAUUAAAAAGAUAGUACCACAAGAGGAAGAGACGGCUAACUCUGUGCCAGCAGCCGCGGUAAUACAGAGGUCUCAAGCGUUGUUCGGAAUCACUGGGCGUAAGGCGUGCGGAGGCUGUUUCGUAAGUCGUGUGUGAAAGGCGCGGGCUCAACCCGCGGACGGCACAUGAUACUGCGAGACUAGAGUAAUGGAGGGGGAACCGGAAUGCUCGGUGUAGCAGUGAAAUGCGUAGAUAUCGAGAGGAACACUCGUGGCGAAGGCGGGUUCCUGGACAUUAACUGACGCUGAGGCACGAAGGCCAGGGGAGCGAAAGGGAUUAGAUACCCUAGUAGUC
rnacentral:rRNA from 1 species